UACGUAGGGUGCAAGCGUUAAUCGGAAUUACUGGGCGUAAAGCGUGCGCAGGCGGUUUUGUAAGUCUGUCGUGAAAGCCCCGGGAUCAACCUGGGAAUUGCGAUGGAGACUGCAAGGCUUGAAUCUGGCAGAGGGGGGUAGAAUUCCACGUGUAGCAGUGAAAUGCGUAGAGAUGUGGAGGAACACCGAUGGCGAAGGCAGCCCCCUGGGUCAAGAUUGACGCUCAUGCACGAAAGCGUGGGGAGCAAACAGG
rnacentral:rRNA from 1 species